CUAUCCCCAAAAAGACUAUUUCACUCCCCAACUAUUUUUCCGACCCCCUU
rnacentral:tRNA from 1 species